rnacentral:rRNA from 1 species
UACGUGGGGCGCAAGCGUUGUCCGGAAUUAUUGGGCGUAAAGAGCUCGUAGGCGGUUUGUCGCGUCUGCUGUGAAAACCUAAGGCUCAACCUUGGGCUUGCAGUGGGUACGGGCAGACUAGAGUGCGGUAGGGGUGACUGGAAUUCCUGGUGUAGCGGUGGAAUGCGCAGAUAUCAGGAGGAACACCGAUGGCGAAGGCAGGUCACUGGGCCGCAACUGACGCU